rnacentral:rRNA from 1 species
GCGAGUCGAGAGGGUUCGGCCCUCGGCUGACGGCUCAGUAACACGUGGAUAAUCUGCCCUUAGGUGGAGGAUAAUCUCGGGAAACUGAGGACAAUACUCCAUAGGUUUAGGAGGCUGGAAUGCAUCUAGACUGAAAGCUCCGGCGCCUAAGGAUGAGUCUGCGGACUAUCAGGUAGUAGUCAGGGUAAAGACCUGACUAGCCUACGACGGAUACGGGUUGUGAGAGCAAUAACCCGGAGACGAUAUCUGAGACACGAUAUCGGGCCCUACGGGGCGCAGCAGGCGCGAAAUCUUCACAAUGUGCGAAAGCACGAUGAGGGGAUCCCAAGUGUUGGUUCGUAAGAAUCAUCUGUUUCUUUGUCUAAAAAACAGAGAGAGUAAGAGCUGGGUAAGACGGGUGCCAGCCGCCGCGGUAAUACCUGCAGCUCAAGUGGUGGCCGCUAUUAUUGGGCCUAAAACGUCCGUAGCCGGUUUAGUAAAUGCUUGGGUAAAUUGUGUAGCUUAACUAUACGAAUACCGGGAAGACUGCUAAACUUGGGACCGGGAGAGGCUAGAGGUACUCCUAGGGUAGAGGUGAAAUUCUGUAAUCCUAGGGGGACCACCAGUGGCGAAGGCGUCUAGCUAGAACGGGUCUGACGGUGAGGGACGAAGCCCUGGGGCGCGAACCGGAUUAGAUACCCGGGUAGUCCAGGGUGUAAACGCUGCUUGCUUGAUGUUAGUUGGGCUCCGAGCCCAACUAGUGU